rnacentral:rRNA from 1 species
CCUACGGGUGGCAGCAGUGGGGAAUAUUGGACAAUGGGGGAAACCCUGAUCCAGCGACGCCGCGUGAGUGAAGAAGGACUUCGGUACGUAAAGUUCUAUCAGCAGGAAAGAAAAUGACGGUACUUGACCAAUUACCCCUGGCGAAUUACGUGCCAGCAGCCGCGGUAACACGUAGGGGGCAAGGGUUAUCCGGAGUUACUGGGUGGAAAGGGAGCGGAGACGGCAGCGCAAGUCUGGAGUGAAAUGCCGGGGCCCAACCCCGGAACUGAUCUGGAAACUGUGAAGAUGGAGUGCAGGAGAGGUGAGCAGAAUUCCAGGUGUAGCGGUGAAAUGCGUAGAUAUCAGGAGGAACACCGGCGGCGAAGGCGGCUUACUGGAC